CACGCCCUAAACGAUGAUCACUCGAUGUGUGCGAUAUACUGUACGCGUCUAAGCGAAAGCAUUAAGUGAUCCACCUGGGGAGUACGACCGCAAGGUUGAAACUCAAAGGAAUUGACGGGGGCCCGCACAAGCGGAGGAGCAUGUGGUUUAAUUCGAUGAUACGCGAGGAACCUUACCAGGGCUUGAAAGUUAGUGAAGGAUGUGGAAACAUGUCCGUCAGCAAUGACACGAAACUAGGUGC
rnacentral:rRNA from 1 species